UGAAUGGACAGACACUUUCCCUGAGGAUGCUUCAUGGGAGAAGUUGUCGGAGCUACAACGUCGGUAUCCUACAUUUGAUCCUUGAGGACAAGGAUAUUUUCCACGCCGGGCAAUUGUUAUGGUUUAUAUUUCUAUUUAAAUGGUUGAAAAUAAUUAGUUAAGAGCUGCGUCUUUAUUAUUUUGGUUUAAUGAUACGGUGAGUUUCGGGUUGGACAAAACGAGAGCGUUUAGCAAGAUGUUAGCUAAAAACGGUUAUUUCCUUUCAUUAUAUUACGUGUAACAGAAAAGGGGAAGGCAUGAAUAUUUUUGAAGAUUGAAUUUCAGCUACUUUGUUCUCCAGCUCUUCCUCCUUUUAUUCUCUCCUCUUCGAUUCUAUUCUAUUUCUUCUCAAAACAAAACGUUCUACAACAUCGGCCCCCUAGAUUGCGCAACUGCUUCACGCCGUCGUCGCCUCCGCUGCUCGAUUUUCCUCCGCCCUCGGUGAUCUUGGAAAAUGGCCGAAAUUCUUGCUUUUUUUUGUUUUUUUGCUGUUGUUUUUUGCUCUUUUUUUUUGGUUCUCCCCUCCUUUGUUUUUUCGGGAUUAAAGUCCCUUUUAUGUUGUUUUUUUUGCAAGGAGAAGGUGGCUAGGGCAGAGGAAGCCAUGCCCUAGGCCGGCCGUAGGAAAAUCUGGGCGCAGGUGCGCAAAUCGCGCCAAUUGGCCAGAAGGACUAGAUUGCAAACACAGCAAAAAUUCUGGGGCCGAAGUGUAAUUCUAGAAAUUUUAGGUGUCAAAUGAAAAUUUUGGAAGUUUAGGGGUCAAUCUAUAAUUUUAAGAAAGUUUAGGGUUUAAAAAUGAAAUUUUGAAAAGUUGAGGGGGUCAAAAUGUAAUUUUAGAAAAGUUUAGAGGUUAAAAUGUAAUUUUAAAAAAAUAAAAUUUGAUCCGAAAAAAUUUAGUGAUUACACCCAUUGACGAGUAAAAAAACAUAUUUUAUAUCUAAGUCGAUUUGACAGUUAGUGUAGGAGAUUAGAAAAAAAAGUUGCUUGGAUUUUAGCUCUCAAAUUUGUGACAUCUACAAUUGUUUUAUAAAAAAAAAUCGAACUGUAGAAGAGAAAGAGAAUGAGAACUUUCAAAUAUUAGUGCAGGUGGUACAAAUAGAAAAGGUCGUACAAUAGCGAUCUUGUCAACUCAAUGAUUUAAAUGAAAACUUUUAAAUAAUUCAAUAAUCAUUUUGUAAUAUUUUGAAAUUAAGUGACCAAAAUAUAAAUUUACAUAAGAAGAAUCUGUUCUUAGUAAUAUAAAAUUAAAUUGGUUUUAUACACAUAAUUUUAUAUAAUUAAUAUUUUAAUACACAAAAAUUCAAAUUAAUCGGAUAUCUCUGUAAUUUAUAUAAAUAAAAUAAGAAACAAGACAACAUAUUAAUAUAUAUAUAUAAAUCUGUUUAGAUAAUAAGGAACAAUAUAAAUCUUUUAAAAAUUAUAAUAAAAUAAUUUAAUUUGACUCGAUAAAACCUUUGACAAAUACAUGAUAUCCAUGUUAAGCUGUGAUUGCCAUGCAAAAUCGAAGGUGAUUGGGUUCUUUCCAGUCGGUAUUCUUUACUUAUUUUCACAAUUAUAGACUGAUGUGAUGUUUAAUCAACAGAAAAGUUUAUUAAAAAUUAAAACCCUAAAUUUAUGCUAUAAAAAGUUAAAAAUUUGAGGGUGAAAGUGUCGAGAUAAUAUUAUAAAAUUUUGAGGGUAAAGUUAAAAAUUUUGUAUUAAAAAUGUUUAAAUUAAAUUAAUUUUUAAAAAGGGUUAAAAUUAGUCGAUUGAGUCUUAGUUUGAUUUGGCAUGAGUAUUAUUGUCAAUGCGAGAGGACGUGAGUUCGAGUCUAUUGAAACGCAUUAUCCUUCUAUUUAUGGAUAAUUCUAGGCAUUGUAUAAAAAGAAAAGAUAUGAUCAAAACCUCUAAUGAGAUUGUUAAAAAAAAAAAACUAAAAUUGCCAUUUCUCAAGAACAAUAGCUAAGGGACCUGAUACUACCACUUGGAUCUGGAACCUACAUGUCAAUGCUCACGAUUUCGAUAGCCAUACCAAUGAUUUGGAGGAGAUCUCUCGCAAAAUAUUUAGUGUCCAUUUCGGCCAACUCUCCAUCAUCUUUCUUCGGCUGAGCGGCAUGUAUUUCCACGAUGCUCGUUUUUCCAAUUAGGAAGCAUGGCUCAGCGGUCCUACUCACAUUGGACCUAGCGCCCAUGUGGCUUGGCCAAUAGUGGGCCAAGAAAUCUUGAAUGGCGACAUGCAUGGGGGUUUUCGAGGAAUACAAAUAACCUUUGUUUUUUUUCAGAUUUGGCGAGCAUCUGGAAUAACUAGUGAAUUACAACUCUAUUGUACCGCAAUCGGUGCAUUGGUCUUUGUGGCUUUAAUGUUUUUUUCCUGUUGGUUCCAUUAUCACAAAGCGGCCCCAAAAUUGGCUUAGUUUCAAGAUGUAGAAUCUAUGUUGAAUCACCAUUUAGCAGGGCUACUGGGGCUUGGGUCCCUUUCUUGGGCGGGGCAUCAAGUACAUGUAUCUUUACCGAUAAACCAAUUUAUAGUUAACCUAAUUUAUUUUAAUUAUGUGGCGCAUAUUUAGAUGUUAUUAUAAUUUAUCAAGUGAUAAUAACUAAGGUUAAAUUCUAUACUAUUAGUCUCUAUGCUUACGAAAGCUAUAGAUUUAAUCUUUGUACUUUAAUUUAGUUAUUUUUAGUCCCUAUGCUUUUGAAUUUGAAAAUUUUGGUAUUCAUUAAGUGAUAACUAUUAAAUUUAUUAAAUUAAAUUUUGUUAUUUCUAAAAUUUGAUGCGACAAACAUAUUAUUAUAUGUAUGAUGCUUUGUCAGCUUAUUAUUUCCACAUAUUACUAACGGAAAAUUAAUUUAAUGGAUUAAUGAUUGUCAUUUGCGUCAAAAUAAAAUUUUCAAAAUUCAAAAAGUAUUAAGAUUUAGAAUGAUCCAUUUGGAGAAUAAGAGCUAAAUAUAUAACUGUACGUAUAGUACAAUAUUAGUAAUUAAAGUUGACCAAAUGAAAUUAAUUGCUACUGUUUGAAUUAAGACUAAAAAUUUAAAAUUGGAAAAGCAUAGAGACUAAAAUUUAUCAAAUUAGUUAAUUAGAUAAAAAAAAAAAGAGAAGGGUACCUUUUGUUCCAUUUAUUAUACAAUUCAGUGACAACUUAAACAGAUCAGUCAAUUUUGUAUAUAUAUAAUACCUUAUAUCUAAAUAAGAUUAUUUUUAAUCUUGAAAAUGGUGUAAUUUUUAUCAGCUAAGGUGGUAAAAACAUACAUACAUGCAUACAUAAGUGGUUCAGUACUCGUUAACUUUAGAACAAACUUUGCGGAUUUCUCCCAUAGUUCCAGUCUUCACUUCAAUGUUGCUCAUCUUCACCAUGGAUUUCCCAAACUCAACGUUGAAGCUUAAUCCAAGCGACCCUCUAACCUCCAAGAAACGUUGCACAAAUUUCUUGGUCAAAUCGUCAGUCCAUAAUCUUUGAUCGGAUUCAAGUAUUCCCUUGCCCUCCCUCAAGUUUGCAAAGAAAGAAGUGUCGAAUCUGUCAGCGCUGCCAGUGUCGAGUGCGAUCUGCCUUGACCCGUCACGGUUCUGAGGGCAAAGUGCUUGAAGGUGGGAAACGAAUGCGGGAUUUAUCGAAGGAUCGGCUCCUGUUGAAGUGAAGUUGUAAAGCCUGUAGCUGAAGACUUCGCAGGCAGCGGUACCGAUUGUGUGUGCUCCUAAUAACAGAUUAAAUAUUAGUAAUCAAAAUUGAGUAUCUACGGUAGCGUUGGGUAAAUCGAGCCAGAUUGUAAUAAAAUGUUUACCAACAAGGGUGACAAGAUCUCGAGUGUUGAGACCCUUUGCUGCAAAUUUUUGCUUUAGCACAUCUAUGGUAUCCUGGAAGCCUGGCAUAUUGCCAUCAGUAUCAGAUGCAUUUGAAACUGUUCCAUCUCUACGCCCUGUAGGAACUGCCCAACUAGUUCCCUUAGUCUGUAAAAAUGACACGAAUUCAAAACGACGACAUUCUCACCGACUAGCCAAAAGAAUCGUAAAAUAUAUAUAAUUACCAGAACUACGGAAUCACGAGCAGCAAGGGCUAGAAUAUCGGCGCACGAAACAACUCCGGGGCAUUCACAUUCGAGUUGAAACUUGGCAUCAUCGAUGACUUUGUAUCCUUUCAAGAACUGGCUUGCCGGUGCGGUUUUCUCAGCAUUAGGCCCAUCGAUAAGGAUGGAAGCAUCGCAUCCUCGUACGAAGCAGUCAUGGAAGUGCAUACGGAGCAAUCCCGGAGCUAUAGUCGGAUCCAACUUGAAAUGAGAUUCGACGGUCGACUUUAUGAUGGACUCAGCUCGAGGACAUGUGCUCGAGUAGAACCCGACUCGAGUGCUAUGGCCUCUCACCGAGCUGGCAGCUAUGGCUAGCAAUAGGGUAACUAAGAAGACUGUUUGAUUGAAACAAUUGUCCUCCAUUGUUGUAAAUUAAGCAAAGAAAUAGAAGAAUUAAGGGACAGUGUUCUAAUCAAGGCUUGCGAAUUGUGACUGUGGAUUGGCAAUUGUGAAUGCAGUAUUUAUAGGCAUAAGAAAAAGGCAAAACCAUAUACACAUACAUAUAUAUAUAUAUAUAUCAACUUGCAUGCAUCAUGCAUGCUCUUUGUUUGAUGCACGCUCCGUGUUUAAUGCAUGCUCCUUGUUUCUUACAAUUAGAACAAAGUCAUCGUCAACCAAAUACUGUGCUACUAAUUUUAUUCAUUAGUAAAGGCCUUGCUUUACAAUAUCUAUACAACUAUAUAUGAAUGGAAUAUUAGAUUUAUAGUUAUUUGGUAUUUGGUAUUAAUUCACGGGUUAUCGAAAAUGAAGAAAAGGUUUUCAAGGAGCUUGUGCGAAUUGAAGAUGAUAGGUUUAAUAUGAAUCUUGGAGGAUGUCCAGUACAGCUUUCUUUAGCGAUUUGUCUUGGACUUUCAUUGCUUAGGGUUAAUGCCAAGGCGUUUACCAAUCUUUGUACUUAACCCUCGAACUCGAACUCGAGUUUAAGGUUAAUAAUACAUAUUAAAAGUAAUUAUGUAAUUUAAUAAUAUAAAAAUAUGAAAAGCUCGAUAAGGCUCGCAAGUCAUUUGAUUCAAGUUUUACUAAGUUCGAAUUCGGCUUGGAUGAUAGUUUUAGCUACUUGAGCUCGAACUUGGCUCGAUAAUUACCGAACUGAGUUUAAAUUUUUUCGAGUCGUUUGUGAGAACCAAUAUCUCAUUUACAUCCCUAAUCCUCAUGUCCUAUCAAUUUAAACUAGUUAUGAGGGACAUUCAAAUGUCGAAAUUGAGACUAGAAAACAAAUUCUAAGUUAAGAAGGAUUAAUAUAUGAUAGCAUUGAUAUAUAAUUCUAUGUCAUAUAAAAAAAAUAUAUGUAAUUUUAUACAUUAUUAUUAGUGAAUUAUCAUUACAAUAACUAGAUGAGAAGAAGAGGGAUAAAAAAGUUUGAAUUUGUGUUACCCACAAAAAUUUUAACCACCGCUUUAACUAAGUUUCGACUAUGAUGUCACUUUAUUAAAAAUAAAAUUAAUUGAAUUUAGUUUUAUAAUGCCACAUCAUUAGAAAUAAAGUCAACUGAAUUUAGUUUCUAAUUGUUAUUUGUUACAGAUUUCGAGGAGAUAUAGAUAUUAAUUCUCAAAAAUAUCCAUUAUCCGAGACCGUUUACUUUUGUAAAUAACAAAAAUUGAUUUCGAUAAUUAGAUAAUGUGCUUAAUUGACAUAGUUUUACGAUUUAUUUUAAUUAAUUUAGAUAUGAGUUUUGUUAAUACAAUAACUGUCGAAGGUGUGAGAAAACAAGUUGAAGUGUAGGUUGCAUGGAACAUUUGACAAAGAUAUUUGUUUAAAAGAGGGAUUAGAAUUAAAGUAGAUUUAUCAGUGGGAGUAAGAAAAAAUUUUCUUAAAUUUCUUUAUUUUAUACUUUGAAUUUAUUUUUAGGGUUUGCUUUGUUUAGCAUUAAAAUAAAGGGAGGCGUGACUCAUGAGACUCCCAUAAUUUGAGGUUUAGGUUAUUAUUAUUAUUAUUAUUAUUAUUAUUAAGGAUAAAUAUCUAAACUACAAAUAAUUUCGAUCUAACUUGUAAUGUCAUUCAUGAACUUCGGUAUCAUGCGAUUAUAUAAAUAGAAUUUUGAUUUUAUUCAAUUUUCACAAAUCACUAACAAUAUUAUUAAAUUAGCAUCGUUUUACGUUGAUAUAUUGUAUACACAAACAAUUAUAUUAAUCCAAUAUAAAAAUAAAUGUAUGUAUUCAUUUUCUUUAAAUAUGUACAAUUGAAUUAAAGUCAAAGUUUCAUGUAUACAUAUGAACCACAGUUCAAUUUUCAGGUAUAUGAUUACACCAUAUCAAAUUUUAUAUAUUAAAUUACAUAUUAGACUAAAGUUCAUGUAUAAUUUUGAUAUUUAUCCUUUGUUAUUAUUAGUAACGCUUGAUGGCCAUUACUAUUGUUUAGUUUUUUCUAUUUUAUUUUGAUUCAAACUUUUCAGUUAUUUUGUUUCCUUCUUGUUUAAAUUAUGAGUAGUUAAGUCGGUAAUUUAUUUGGUAUUUGAAUUGUGAGGUUUUGAAAUUGUAUUUCUUCUCUCCACUUUGAUAUUCAUUACUUUUUUUUUAUUUAAGAGAUAGACUCAGUCGUAUUACAACUUUAUUUUAGCAUCAAAUCAAAAAGACGGGCCUUUAAUUCAAUGUUGGACAGCAUACAAUUGGUGAAUCAAUAUGAUCAGUAAUUGUUGUAUUCGGUCUACCGAAGAAUAAAUUGAUGUGACCAAUUAAGGAAGUCGUUGGAUCCAUCAAGGGAGUUAAUGAUCAAGUUUAAACAACCCGCGCUGUUGUGGCCAUUGAUUUAAGCUAUGUCUUUCUGGUUUGCAAGGCUGCCAAGGAAAUAAAUUGUGGAAGCUAAUUUCAAGGUUAUUUUCUUGUUAAGAGUUAAUUGCUGGGUUGUUCACUUGUUAAGGGUUAAUUGACGGUUUAUUCCCACAAUUAAUUAACAUAUGAAAGGCUUGGUGGUUUGAGGUUGUUCCUCAAUCAUUAUAAUUGACUUAUCAAUUGGAAGAGAAAAUCUAUUGUUCAAAACUGGUGGCAAAAUUGCGCCUGAAAUUGGAGUUUCUGUCUUAUUGAUUUGUUCAGUUUUAAUUUUGUUAUACUUCUUUUUGUUGUGUUUUAUUUUUAUUUAAUUUCCAUUAUUUAUUUUAUAUUCAGAUUUAAUCCAUGUUUCUCAAAGUAUCAGUGUUGUAUCAAUCAAGUCUUUUUGUCAAAUUAGGUUUUGAAUAAUAAUUUGAAUAUAAUGUAAAAGCAUAUUUAAAACACAUGGAUAAAAUUGUAAAUAUGUAUGCACCCUAUCACAUGAUCAACUUGAAUUUGAUAUGCUAAAUAAAUAGGAAGCAGUGUGAUCAAUUAAAUUUAGGAGAGUUAUUUCUUUUUUAACAUGUAAAAUCCAAGUGUCUAUGUUGCAGGUACACACAUGUUUACAAUUUGAUCCACAUAUUUUGAAUAUGUUUUACGUCAAAUCUAAGCUGACAUGUAGCACCUAAGCUAAUGGCUUCAUUAAUGGAAGGAUCAGAUUGAGGAUACAUAAUGAAGAAAGUGAAGAGGGAAAGACAAUCUUACAAUCUUUCUUUGAACAAGAGGAAUGAAAGAAAAUGAUUGUAACUAAAGCCAAGAGCGAAACAAGAAAUUGUUUUAGGGGCAGAAAUGCAUAAAACCUUUGGGGGUUAAAAUGCUUGAUAGUUAGACUAACGGAAGGAACUAAUUGACAUAAUAUUAAUACUUUGAGAAUUUAAUUAAAAUAUUUUAAAAUUUAAAUUAUAGCUUGAAUAACAAUUAAGAGACUUUUCCUAUUAAAAUGUAUAAUUUAAAAAAAUCUCAUUCACAACGUUUGGGUUUUUGGGUGACAAAAAUGAAAGUGAUCAAAAUAAAAGUGUAAACAUAAUAUGGCCUCUGUAUUUAACCGUCUUUAGAGAUUAAACAAUUGGGUGAUCAAAAUGAAAGUGUCUUAAAAAUUAAGUGAUGAAAUUGCAAAGAUUUCAUUUUAAGUAAUCAAAAUGAAACCACUUUAAAAAUUGAGCGGCCAACUAGAAAAUUUACCCAUAAAUUUAAGCCCCUCUUUUUUUACAUCCAAAUCUUUUCUUCUUCUUUUUUCUUUGAAAAAAACUAAUACCAUAAAGAGUUAACCUAUGUUGACAAUGUCAACUAGACUUUCACUAUCAAGAAUCUCAAUUAACUCCAAAGGAGCUCUUGUCGGAAUUUGUACCCCUUCCAAAUCGGUCAGAAUCAUCUUAGAAAUUCGAUCAACAGCAUGAUUAGCUUCUCUAAGAAUGUGUCGUAGCAUCCAAUAUCUUUAUCUUGAAGUUAUUUCCGAAGCAUAAAUUUAAUUAAUUCAUUUAUUAGUCAACAAAUAAAAAUAUUACUGAUAAAAUGGAUUAACCUUAUAAAACAACAACGAUUAAUUAUUAUUUAUUUUAGUUAAUUGUUAAUUUGGGCUGAUUUUUUAUUGGACUAUUAAUUUGGGCCAUAAAAAUCUAAACAAACUGAAUUGGAGAAUUGGCCCAUUUUCUUGUAACCUGAUCAUAUAUUUUCCUAUCAACUUCUCCAUUAUUUUCAAUCUCCCAUUUCUCUGCAAUUUCACGUUUGGGAAACAGCCGCACUGCAAUGGCUGCACCCAGUUGCGGUAAGAGCUUUUUAUUUAUUUCUUUAUCUCUGAUCUACUGUUGCUUUAUUUCGUUUUAUACUACGUACGGAGUGUUUGCUUGUAAAUCAGUAUUGGGUCUUUAGAAAUUUAGCUUUAUUAUGUAGUAGUAAACAGAUGGGGUUUAGUCUUUUUACUCAGAUUCUGAGAAAUUUUGUUUAAUAUGGUAUAUUAAUCUUUUGGGUACAUUGAUACAAGGUUAAAAUAUGGUAUAGGUUCUGUACUUUUCAUAGAUUCUAAAAUUAGUCCUUUUACGAUUUCAAAAUUUAGGUCCAAUUGUUAACACUAUUAUUUUGUUUGGUUAAUGGUUGAACUUGAAUUUUGAAAUCUGAAAAGUAGAAGGAUUAAAUUCUAAAUUUACAAAGAGUACAGAGACCUUUGGUAUAUUAUAACCUUGAUACAAAUUUCUAUUGAUGAUGAGUAUGUCUGUGUUUACAUAUUGAGGUUUAUUUUGUUGGUUGUUUUACAUGAAAUUACACUUCUGAAAAUAAUAGCAAAAACAACCCAAAACAAGUAACCAUGUCAUUUUACUGAAAGUUAUUUCACUAGAAAAGUUUUGUUCAAAUCUGCUCGUGUUUUGUACAUUGUGUGUUAAAGAACAACUGGUAUUCAAUUUUGUUUAUGUUCAAACCCCUGUUGUUUAGUAGAAUAACUCAUGUUUGGAACAACUCGUGUUUAGAACACUCUUUGUCAAGACUAUCUCCUUCACGUUAUGUGUCAUUCACGUAACUUUCACCACACCGAAAAAUCUUCUAUAGAAGACAUUUAUUGGCUCUUCCUCUCUUCGUCAAAGAAUCUUCUACAUGGUACACGAUGAUGCAUGAUCAACUCCUAGUAUAGGAGUACUUUUGCUGGUUUAUAAUAGCGUAGUUCUAUUUCCUUGUGUGGAUCAUGCCUAUAUAUUCUACUUUUAAAAGUUUUUCUAUGUGUUUGGACCUUUUUAGACGGUCAUAUCUCUAUACUUAUAUCCAUAUAUUUGUUAGACAAUACUUCAACAAUAUAAAAAGCUCAAACAAUUUUCUUUAAGCGCAUUUGGGGCAAAAACAAUGAAAUUCAAUGCCCCAAUGGGUGACUAAUUUAUGAACCAAUAUGAUUAUUUCUUUUUGAUGUUUUUGUUGCUUGUUAUCUUUUUAGCCCCUGAAGCAUAAUAGCUAAUAGAAAAUGAUAUGUAACAGAGACAACUGGAAAUGGGAUACCAACAGGAGAUAAACUCAUAUUGAGGGGCUUGAAAUUUCAUGGUUUCCAUGGGGUAAAGUCUGAAGAAAAAAAACUGGGUCAGAAGUUCUUGGUUGAUGUAGAUGCCUGGAUGGAUCUUCGGAAUGCCGGUAAAUCCGACCUUUUAUCUGAUACCAUUAGCUACACUGAUAUUUACCGGUGAGUAAUCGAAGAUGUUUAAAAACAUUGCAUGAAUCUUUUAGCUUAUGUUUUGAUUUGAUAAUUUGAUUUUUGGCUACUUACAUAAUAGUAUAGUGAAGGAAGUUGUGGAAGGGCAAUCUCGUGAUCUUUUGGAAUCAGUGGCUCAAAUUGUUGCAUCAAAAAUCUUUACAAAUCACUCUCAAAUAUCGGCUGUUAGAGUGAAAGUUGGUAAGCCUCAUGUUGCUGUUCACGGUUCUCUUGACUACCUUGGCGUUGAGAUUAUAAGAUAUAGAAGCAUUGAUGCUUCUAAUUGACCAUCAUGUACGUAUAUAUAGACACACAUGCAUGUAUGUAUGCUUGCACAUAUGUAUGCAUGAAUGAGUGUAUGUACGAAUGUAUCAUCUUCAUCAAUGCCUGGUAUGGUCUGGCCCGGCUCUAGGGUUUUUCGUCACUACAUCUUGACAACUGGUGUAUUUGUAUAUUUCUUUUAUAUUAUAAAGUUUGAUAUGCUAAUAAUUUUGUGUUGUGGAUUUUUGGCACAUUCUUGUCAUUUUUUUCACGUCUUAAUGGAACAUGUUUGCCAUCUCUAUCAAUCACUCGCUAAUAUACUUGAUUAUGACUUGGAUUGGGUUCAGGUCGACUUAAAAUUUUAAGUCCAUUAUCUACGAUUUAAAAAUGGGUCUAAAUUUUUACCUAAGCUUGGUCUAGAUUAAAAAUGAUAAAUCUGAACCUGACUCAAUUUGCUUGUAUUAAUAAUUUUAGAUUAUCUUUUAUAUAAAAAUAAAUUUUAAAAUAUAAUAAAUCAAAUAUACUAAAAACAUUAAAAUAAGUAUUUUUGAACAAAUUGAAAAUACUUAAAUAACACUAAGAUAGUUGUAACUUAAUUUAUUAUAUAACAAGACUCAUACAAUAUUCAAAUAAUAAUAAUAAUAAAAUAAUAGCAAUAUAAUGAGUGGUAGUAAAACAGCAGCACAUUGGUAGCAAAACAAUUCAUAUGGGCUGGGUCGGGUUAGGCUCAAGCCAAAAAAUUCUACAUGAGGCUCAGCUCGUUUAAAAAAUAGGUUUUAUUUUUUGUUCAAACCCAUUUUUCGAACUUAAAUUUUUGUUCAAACUCUCCCACAUUUCAAGUGAACCUUUAAACUUUGACGAAUGACCCGACCCAUUAUGAGUUGUACUCACUAACCUUCCCACGAAAAAGAUCUCAAGUGAACCUAAGGGUUAAGGGUCAAGGAUAUACUUUGCCAAAUGUGUUGUAAAGGAACCCAAUUAGAUUAAGUGGCGAAAGAAAUGGGCCACGAGUUUAAAGUUCUUGGAUGCAGUUUUUUAUACAAUGUUAUAAGAAUUUGGUGAUUGAAUCGAUUAAAUUAUUUAUUUUUAAUUUAAUUUAAUAAUAAUUAAGCAAAAAAUUUAUAAAAAUUAUAAAAAAAAUCAAAACUAGUAGAAUCAAGUUCCUCAAAAAGAAAAAGAAAAUGUAUAAGAAAUAAUUGUGCAAUUUAACCUAAACUUUUUUUAUCUAAAAUGCUGAUAUAACAUCUCACAUCAGCUUGUUGUUAUGUUGUUAAAAUGUAAUAUUAGUAAUCAUAUUGUAACUUUUAAUAACAUUAGUGAUCAUAUUGUAAAUUUUUAAAAUUUGGUAUUCAAAAUAUAAUUUAAACAAUAUAUAAGUGAUUAAAUUUGUAAUUUACCCAUUUUUAAAGCAGCAAUUUUGAAUAUGAUUUGGGAGAAAAAGGGUAAUAAAUAUAAAAGGCAAAAAGCAUUGCCGGUGCAGAAGAAAUCCUUAUACUAUUGAACUAGAAAGAGGGCAAUGAGCCUCUCUCUCCUUCAAGGCUAUUCUUCAGCCGAAGAUGAAGAAACGGCUGAGCCCGACCAUAUUCAUUAUGACGACUCUUCCGACGACGACGACUACGGCGGCGGCGGUGGUAUUAAAAACCAUUCCGCCGCUCCCAAGCGAUAUGACUCCUCCGUCUUUGAUUUCCCCGAUUCCUCCCGUAAAUCCGAUCUUCCUUCUGCAUUCGACGCUUUUUCGCAGGUAUAAAACUUAUUUUUUGGGCCCGUAAUCUCUUGGCAAAUAAAACCUUUGCUAGUAAUGUGUAGGAAAAUUCUGAAUUUUGAAGAAAAAGUAAGAUCGAGAUUUUUGUGAAAUAAAAUUAAAAGCUUUUUUUGUUGUAGUAUUUCUUUCUCACCAACUGAAAUUAGGUUUAAAAUGCUCUUCUUCUUUUUUCCCCUUUUCUAUGUUACUGAAGUGGUCAAAUUGAUGGUGAUGGAAUUAGGGUUUUUCUAAUUUUGUUAGUGUACUUGUUCUCUUGUUGGUUUCUGGAGGUUUCAGGGCCACCAGAGUUUUUAAACCAUGCGGUUGAGGAACCGAUUUCAGCAGGUGAUGCUGCCCAACAGCAAGGAAGGCGCAGUGACCGGAAGGAUUUCAAAGAUAAGAAGGAUAGGCCUUCUGGUAUUUUUCAAUCUAUUCUCCUUUUCAAAGUUUAUUUGCAAAUCUCUACUUAAGAUAUGGGCUCAAAUGGUUUACAAUUAUUGUGUUUAUUUUGUCAACUGAGGGUUUUUUGAACUUUAAUUGAUUAUGAUAUGUAUUUUAAUUAAAAAUGGUGAAAAAGGCUGUUUGUAACAAGUUAGAACCUUGAGAGUAGAAGAGCAAAGUUUCCUAUUAGAUCUUUCUCCUUUGGUGCCUGUGGUUUGCUUCAGGAUUUUGAUUAAUUGAAAUGUUCGAUUAAAGUUGAUGCUACAUUUUGACAGUUCUGGCGUGGAACAAGGUCGAUGGAUUAAUUUGUUGGGUUUUCCAAUGCUCAAUUCUGUUCGUUAGCCUCUACUGUAGAUAUUACUUUUCGUUCUUGUAACUUUAAGUGAUACUUCUUUAAGCAAUUUGAAGUUUAAACCAUACUCUUCUCUAGGCUAUAGUGUUGAAGGCACUUUGCAUCUGGUUGUUCAUUGGUCUUCAAAAUUUUACAUUAAGAUUCUGUUGCCGUCGUUAUGUUUAUUGGUAUUAAGGGUUAAUCAACCUAUCUCUAACCUAAUUAUCAUUUCCGUUGCCAUUGUUUAAAGGUGCUGUGGUAGAAGCAAAAGCUCAGCUUGUUGGAAUCCAUGAGCGAGUAAGAAGUGAUAUCGAGGGUAGCAAGCCUCCUGCUUCAGGAGUUCCAAGCACCAAACAGGAUGGAGCAAAGAGGGUCACAUCUGCAACAAAUCCAAAUGCAGAAGAUGCUGCAGAGCUCUUGAGGUACAUCGUAAUUGUUUUCAGCAUAAAUCCAGACUGGUCUUUUACUGUUGUUUUCUUUCUUGUACCCCGCAUUGAGCAGUAGUUUAUUUAGGCUUGAGUCUAACAUUAGAUGCACUGGUAAAGAGUUCUUUCUAUAUAAAUUUUGUCGGCAUUUCAUCUUAGCCUAUCGUUGUUAUAUAGGAUGUGCCUACAAUGCGGAAUACCAAAGACGUACUCCAGUGCUAGAGGAAUGGUCUGUCCGGUGUGUGGAGAUCGUCCUCUUGCAGAUGCCG
rnacentral:lncRNA from 1 species